rnacentral:rRNA from 1 species
AUUGAACGCUGGCGGCAGGCCUAACACAUGCAAGUCGAACGGUAACAGGAAGAAGCUUGCUUCUUUGCUGACGAGUGGCGGACGGGUGAGUAAUGUCUGGGAAACUGCCUGAUGGAGGGGGAUAACUACUGGAAACGGUAGCUAAUACCGCAUAACGUCGCAAGACCAAAGAGGGGGACCUUCGGGCCUCUUGCCAUCGGAUGUGCCCAGAUGGGAUUAGCUAGUAGGUGGGGUAACGGCUCACCUAGGCGACGAUCCCUAGCUGGUCUGAGAGGAUGACCAGCCACACUGGAACUGAGACACGGUCCAGACUCCUACGGGAGGCAGCAGUGGGGAAUAUUGCACAAUGGGCGCAAGCCUGAUGCAGCCAUGCCGCGUGUAUGAAGAAGGCCUUCGGGUUGUAAGUACUUUCAGCGGGGAGGAAGGGAGUAAAGUUAAUACCUUUGCUCAUUGACGUUACCCGCAGAAGAAGCACCGGCUAACUCCGUG